rnacentral:rRNA from 1 species
AGAGUUUGAUCCUGGCUCAGGAUGAACGCUGGCGGCGUGCCUAAUACAUGCAAGUCGAGCGAACAGAUAAGGAGCUUGCUCCUUUGACGUUAGCGGCGGACGGGUGAGUAACACGUGGGUAACUACCUAUAAGACUGGGAUAACUUCGGGAAACCGGAGCUAAUACCGGAUAACAUUUGGAACCGCAUGGUUCUAAAGUGAAAGAUGGUUUUGCUAUCACUUAUAGAUGGACCCGCGCCGUAUUAGCUAGUUGGUAAGGUAACGGCUUACCAAGGCAACGAUACGUAGCCGACCUGAGAGGGUGAUCGGCCACACUGGAACUGAGACACGGUCCAGACUCCUACGGGAGGCAGCAGUGGGGGAAUAUUGGGCAAUGGGCGCAAGCCUGACCCAGCAACGCCGCGUGAAGGAAGAAGGCCCUCGGGUUGUAAACUUCUUUUAACAGGGACGAAGAAAGUGACGGUACCUGUUGAAUAAGCCACGGCUAACUACGUG